rnacentral:lncRNA from 1 species
CCUUCAUAUCUGCCAGUGGGAUUUUUUUUUAAAUGAUUUUUGUUUGUUUCUACAGGAUGGUUACCUCUUCAUCAAAAAUGGAGUCACGACUUCCUUACAGUUUGGAAAAGAUGUGUAUUUUUACCUGAAGAAUCCUCCCCCAGAAUUUCUCCCCAAAGUUGGUGUGAUCACAGUUUCAGGACUGACUGGAAUAGUCCUGGCCAGGAAAGGGUCUCGAUUCAAGAAAAUCGCCUAUCCCAUGUGCCUUGGCUCACUAGGUAUAUCUCUUUGCUACCCAGCACAGUCGGUGAUCGUUGCUAAGGUUACAGGUAGCAAAGUUUAUGCUGCGAGUCAUAUAAUGUACACAACUGUAGGAUCCCUCUGGACCAAAAAGCCUUCCGCAGAAGUUGCCCAGGAAAAAGAUACUCAGGAAGCUUCACGGGUCAGUCAUAGCCUUCCAAAAACUCAGGAGGCCCCUGUAGAAUCGGAGAACAAAGUGGAAACAUCAGAGGAACCGACCCAGAGGUCAGAAGUGCACAAAGAUUAUGAGACUUUGAUGGGUGAAAUGAAGGCGCCAAAUGUCAGAACAGGUGAGAUGUUCCAAUUGCCAUCACAGACUUCCCAACUCUGGAUCUGCAGUUCCCAAGUUGGAUGAUUGUUCAUACAGGUUUUGGGUGGGGAGGUUGUUUAAACACC